GCCUAGCCCUGAUAGCAGUUGAAAUACUUUUGUGCCGGACCCUGCACAAAAGAUUGGAACGUAUAGCGGGAAAAAGC
rnacentral:sRNA from 1 species